AUUGAACGCUGGCGGCAUGCCUAACACAUGCAAGUCGAACGGCAGCACAGCAGUAGCAAUACUGUGGGUGGCGAGUGGCGGACGGGUGAGUAAUGCAUCGGGACCUACCCAGACGUGGGGGAUAACCUCGGGAAACCGGGACUAAUACCGCAUACGUCCUACGGGAGAAAGCGGGGGACCUUCGGGCCUCGCGCGGUUGG
rnacentral:rRNA from 1 species